AACGAACGCUAGCGGCAGGCCUAAUACAUGCAAGUCGAACGGUGUCUUCGGACAUAGUGGCGCACGGGUGCGUAACACGUAUGCAACCUACCUUACAUUGGGGGAUAGCCUUUCGAAAGGGAGAUUAAUACCGCAUAAGACAGUAGCUGGGCAUCCAGCAGCUGUUAAAGAUUUAUCGAUGUAAGCUGGGCAUGCGUCCAAUUAGCUAGUUGGUGAGGUAACGGCUCACCAAGGCAAUGAUUGGUAGGGGAACUGAGAGGUCAAUCGCCAACACUGGCACUGAGAUACGGGCCAGACUCCUACGGGAGGCAGCAGUAGGGAAUAUUGGGAAAUGGACGCAAGUCUGACCCAGCCAUGCCGCGUGCAGGAUGAAGGCGUUAUGCGUUGUAAACUGCUUUUAUACAGGAAGAAACGACUCUUGCGAGAGGCAUUGACGGUACUGUAUGAAUAAGCACCGGCUAACUCCGUGCCAGCAGCCGCAGUAACAC
rnacentral:rRNA from 1 species